rnacentral:lncRNA from 1 species
CUGAUUUUAAUUAUUUCCUGUCUUCUUCUGCUUUUAUCUCACUCCAGUCAGAAUGGCAGCCAUUAUGAAGACAAACAACAGUAAGUGUUGGCAAGGAUGUGGGGAAAAGGUACACUCAUACCCUGCUGGUGGGACUGCAAAUUGAUGCAGACAAUAUGGAAAGCAGUACGGAGAUUCCCUAGAAAUCUGGAAAUGGAACCACCAUUUGACCCAGCUAUCCCUCUCCUCGGUCUAUACCCAAAAGACCUAAAAAGAGCAUACUACAGGGACACAGCCACAUGAAUGUUUAUAGCAGCACAAUUCACAACAGCUAAACUGUGGAACCAACUUAGAUGCCCUUCAAUACAUGAAUGGAUAAAACAAAAUGUGGUAUGUAUGUAUAUAUAUAUACACACACACACACACACACAAUGGAAUAUUACUCAGCAAUAAAAGAGAAUAAAAUCAUGGCAUUUGCAGGUAAAUGGAUGGAAUUAGAGAAGAUAAUGCUAAGUGAAGUUAGCCAAUUCCAAAAAACCAAAUGCCAAAUGUUAGUCUUUGAUAUAAGGAUGCUAAUUCAUAG